UAGGGAAUCUCUNNNCAAUGGACGGAAGUCUGACCGAGCAACGCCGCGUGAGUGAAGAAGGUUUUCGGAUCGUAAAGCUCUGUUGUAAGAGAAGAACGAGUGUGAGAGUGGAAAGUUCACACUGUGACGGUAUCUUACCAGAAAGGGACGGCUAACUACGUGCCAGCAGCCGCGGUAAUACGUAGGUCCCGAGCGUUGUCCGGAUUUAUUGGGCGUAAAGCGAGCGCAGGCGGUUAGAUAAGUCUGAAGUUAAAGGCUGUGGCUUAACCAUAGUACGCUUUGGAAACUGUUUAACUUGAGUGCAAGAGGGGAGAGUGGAAUUCCAUGUGUAGCGGUGAAAUGCGUAGAUAUAUGGAGGAACACCGGUGGCGAAAGCGGCUCUCUGGCUUGUAACUGACGCUGAGGCUCGAAAGCGUGGGGAGCAAACAGGAUUAGAUACCCUGGUAGUCCACGCCGUAAACGAUGAGUGCUAGGUGUUAGACCCUUUCCGGGGUUUAGUGCCGUAGCUAACGCAUUAAGCACUCCGCCUGGGGAGUACGACCGCAAGGUUG
rnacentral:rRNA from 1 species